ACAGCUGCCAUACUGGCUUUACAAACUAAGCCCAUGCAUUUCUAUGGAUGCUGUGUCUCCCCAUUAGAAAUUCUCUGGGCUACAAUACAAAAACCAAGUCAAAAGCUGGGCCAAAUAUCCAGUCAAGAAAAUCUGGUUGUGUACAGGUGACUGAUUGCUGCAAUACUAUCAAUAAUAGUUUUCUCUGUAUGGAAAUACUGCUUUGUUCUACUACUGGCUCACAAAAACUUUGUUCUCUUAACGUAGAUUCAUACACCAAAGCUAUGGAAAAAUGUCAGCGGCUGAUGGACACUUCUUGCAUUGAGGUGGAAGAAGAUGCGAGUGUCCACAAAAGGCAGUGCAGGGUCACGGGAUGAUGAAUCCGUUCCGCAAGCAAGAAAGCAUUCCAGGAUGGUGCGUGUGCCUGGAAGCCCUGUCUGUCAGCAGAUGUCACUGCCUCCACCACCUGCAUAUGAGUCAACACCACACAGGCAACCAGCUCAUUGCCCAGAGCUGGAUGGGUCUAUUAUAACGCCUGCCACUUCAUCUUGGGAC